UACGUAGGUGGCAAGCGUUGUCCGGAUUUAUUGGGCUUAAAGGGUGCGUAGGCGGCCCUGUAAGUCAGCGCUGAAAUAUCCCGGCUUAACCGGGAGGGUGGCAUUGAUACUGCAGGGCUUGAGUAAAGUUGAGGUUGGCGGAAUUGACGGUGUAGCGGUGAAAUGCUUAGAUAUCGUCAAGAACACCGAUAGUGAAGACAGCUAACUAAGCUUUAACUGACGCUGAGGCACGAAAGUGUGGGGAUCAAACAGG
rnacentral:rRNA from 1 species